CUCCCAGACUCCUACGGGAGGCAGCAGUGGGGAAUAUUGCACAAUGGGGGAAACCCUGAUGCAGCAACGCCGCGUGAGUGAAGAAGUCAUUCGUGAUGUAAAGCUCUAUCAGCAGGGAAGAAAAUGACGGUACCUGACUAAGAAGCCCCGGCUAACUACGUGCCAGCAGCCGCGGUAAUACGUAGGGGGCAAGCGUUAUCCGGAUUUACUGGGUGUAAAGGGAGCGUAGACGGCAGAGCAAGUCUGAAGUGAAAGCCCGCGGCCCAACCCCGGGACUGCAUUUGAAACUGUCAGGCUGGAGUGCAGGAGAGGUAAGUGGAAUUCCUAGUGUAGCGGUGAAAUGCGUAGAUAUUAGGAGGAACACCAGUGGCGAAGGCGGCUUACUGGACUGUAACUGACGUUGAGGCUCGAAAGCGUGGGGAGCAAACAGGAUUAGAUACCCGGGUAU
rnacentral:rRNA from 1 species